rnacentral:rRNA from 1 species
GUGCCAGCCGCCGCGGUAAUACGGAGGAUGCGAGCGUUAUCCGGAUUUAUUGGGUUUAAAGGGUGCGUAGGUUGUAGAUUAAGUCAGCGGUGAAAGUUUGUCGCUCAACGAUAAAAUUGCCGUUGAAACUGCUUUACUUGAGUAUAUUUGAAGUAGGCGGAAUGCGUGGUGUAGCGGUGAAAUGCAUAGAUAUCACGCAGAACUCCAAUUGCGAAGGCAGCUUACUAAGUUAUAACUGACACUGAAGCAACGAAAGCGUGGUAUCAAACAGGAUUAGAUACCCUGGUAGUCCACGCAGUAAACGAUGAUUACUAGCUGUUGCGAUAUGAUAGUAAGUGCAC